UGUGACCUCAAAUCAGGUAGGACUACCCGCUGAACUUAAGCAUAUCAAUAAGCGGAGGAAAAGAAACUAACAAGGAUUCCCCUAGUAACUGCGAGUGAAGCGGGAAAAGCUCAAAUUUAAAAUCUGSC
rnacentral:rRNA from 1 species